GGGGCACAGACUUUCAGGUUCCCAAACUUUGUUGGAAGAAGUGAAAAGAAGUUUAGGGCAGGCUGAUUAUGUGCUCCACUUUUCUGCCUUUGAAUGGCAAAGCACAGAACAGAGCUUUGAACAUUUGAACAGACACAUGGCUCUAACUUGUGACAUGGCAGAAGAUUCUGAUGAGGUCAGAGCUUUGCAACAGUGGUGAUUGUGUGGAAAAGCUCUGUCCAGCUUUGAGAGGCUCAAGAGGGACCUCACAUUUCUCAUCGCUUGAGUUCUCAUCCAUCACUCCGUCAAGUCCCAGGUCAUAGAGGUUAUUCCCUCUUCUGGGUCAUGAUGAGGCUACACUCAACACUGGGCACUUGGCUCUUCACACUCCUAGUGAUGCCAGUCUACUGCCAGAGUGGUGAUGAUGGAGAGUGGGGAUCAGGUGACGUCUCCGGGCCUGUGGUCACUGGCAACUCCUCUGCUUCAGUUUUCCAUGCAGCCGGGGAUGAGCCAGACAGAACCAGCCCACUUUUUCAAACCCUGCCAGAUAUGGAAGGUGGCGACUGUUAUGUUAACUUCCACACCAGCCAAGUCAUGUCAAGGCGGUUACGAGCUUUCAGAGAGGAAGUUACUUAUCUAAAGGCUCUUCAACAUGGGAACCAGGCAGUGAUGGAGAAUCUGAUCCAGUUUGUAGGAGCAGAAAUGGGAGAUCAACGCUAUGAGGAGGUGAUCCAAGAGAACAUUGUUGGAAUCAGGGAGGAACAUGUGAGCUGUGAGAGUGUGGUGACAAAAGCAACAGAGGAGAUGGAGAAUCAGCUGCAGGGAGACACACAAGACACUUCGGCUGGAAUUCAGAAGAUAAAAGAGGAGUCCCUUGCCUUUGAAGAAAUGCUGCGUACCGCGUCAGCCAUCGCCACUCGACUGGAGAGUUCCUCAAGAGCCCUGCACGUGGAGAUGAUCGAACAGCUGAGGAAGAACACGAGACAGCCGCGCUAAACUAAAUGACCCAGUGGGAAGCCGUCCAACCUGGAAAAAUAGCUAAAGUGUCACUUCUAUAUUUAUCCACAAUAUUUUAAUAACAGUGAUACCAUGUCAUCACUUUAAACAGUCUAUAUGUGUUAUCUCCUGUCCUUACACAGUUUUUAUGAAAUGGCAUUAUUGUCAGAGGACUGAAACUAUAUUUUUCCUCUCUUGUCCGAUGUUCAUUUGUGAGCCAUAAUGAAAACAUAAUGGCUUUGUGUACAAGGAAAUUGAAAAAAUGAUCUUGGCAGUGAGGUGACAUCUUAAAAGAAUAUUUUCUUUUCAAGUACAGACAACCCUGCAGCUAUGGUCUGGCUGUCUUGGCGCUAGGGAGCAGAUGGUGAAAAGACUGUAUGAGGGUCUGGAAAACAACAAGCAUGAACUCAUAUACAUUGGAAAGAGAAAGCAAGGCGGAGAAAGAAAAAGGGGAAAAAAGAUAUGGCAAUGAUGUCACAGAGGAAUAAAUGAAAACAUGACUUGGCAGCCUAGAGCCAGAAUCUAAAGAAACAGAUGAAGAAAGCAUCAUAAAUCUUUGCAACCGAAGAAUGUUAAUGUUCAGUGUAUUCCUCUAAUAGUCAGUUGUGGUCACUUUUGCUGUAUGUGUAUUUUGACGCAAUUCUGAGUAUAUGCUAGUGUUUAUAUGUUCAGAUAGAGCCUGUGUGAAUUAAUGAAUUUCAGUGACAUGAAAUAUAUAAAUAUCAAAACUUUUAUACUUAAAAA